UGAACCAUGGGAAAUUACAGGAGGGUCGUGCAUAAUUAAGAUAAGUGACUACUUAAUGUAAUUAAGAAAUCUAGAAAUCUCGGCGGUACCCGAUCAAUAAACAAUCAAUACUUGUAAAGUACUUACAAAAGACUUGGAUUUGUGUGUGUGAACUGGCUCACCCUGAAUUUACUAGUGUAGGUGGUGAUCCUAAACAGUGAUCAGUAAGGGCAUUUCCACGUAAAAGGACCCCUGAGCACCAACACGGCAGGUAGCCUAGUGGUUAGAGUAGGUAGCCUAGUGGUUAGAGCAGGUAGCCUAGUGGUUAGAGCAGGUAGCCUAGUGGUUAGAGCAGGUAGCCUAGUGGUUAGAGCAGGUAGCCUAGUGGUUAGAGCAGGUAGCCUAGUGGUUAGAGCAGGUAGCCUAGUGGUUAGAGCAGGUAGCCUAGUGGUUAGAGCAGGUAGCCUAGUGGUUAGAGCAGGUAGCCUAGUGGUUAGAGCAGGUAGCCUAGUGGUUAGAGCAGGUAGCCUAGUGGUUAGAGCAGGUAGCCUAGUGGUUAGAGGCAGGUAGCCUAGUGGUUAGAGGCAGGUAGCCUAGUGGUUAGAGCAGGUAGCCUAGUGGUUAGACCAGUGGUAGCCUAGUGGUUAGAGGCAGGUAGCCUAGUGGUUAGAGGCAGGUAGCCUAGUGGUUAGAGCAGGUAGCCUAGUGGUUAGACCCGGUAGCCUAGUGGUUAGAGGCAGGUAGCCUAGUGGUUAGAGGCAGGUAGCCUAGUGGUUAGAGCAGGUAGCCUAGUGGUUAGAGGCAGGUAGCCUAGUGGUUAGAGUAGGUAGCCUAGUGGUUAGAGUAGGUAGCCUAGUGGUUAGAGGCAGGUAGCCUAGUGGUUAGAGGCAGGUAGCCUAGUGGUUAGAGUAGGUAGCCUAGUGGUUAGAGGCAGGUAGCCUAGUGGUUAGAGGCAGGUAGCCUAGUGGUUAGAGUCAGGUAGCCUAGUGGUUAGAGUCAGGUAGCCUAGUGGUUAGAGCAGGUAGCCUAGUGGUUAGAGGCAGGUAGCCUAGUGGUUAGAGUCAGGUAGCCUAGUGGUUAGAGUCAGGUAGCCUAGUGGUUAGAGCAGGUAGCCUAGUGGUUAGAGGCAGGUAGCCUAGUGGUUAGAGUAGGUAGCCUAGUGGUUAGAGCAGGUAGCCUAGUGGUUAGAGUCAGGUAGCCUAGUGGUUAGAGUCAGGUAGCCUAGUGGUUAGAGUCAGGUAGCCUAGUGGUUAGAGUCAGGUAGCCUAGUGGUUAGAGUCAGGUAGCCUAGUGGUUAGAGUCAGGUAGCCUAGUGGUUAGAGUCAGGUAGCCUAGUGGUUAGAGUCAGGUAGCCUAGUGGUUAGAGUCAGGUA